GUAAAUUAGGUGUCAACUGCCAAAACCACAUCGAAACGACCAAAGGUCUGAAUGGAGAGAGGAAUCUCUUGCUGAAUGGGGAAACGACCAAAGGUCUGCAUGGAGAGAGGAAUCUCUUGCUGAAUGGGGAAACGACCAAAGGUCUGCAUGGAGAGGAAUCUCUUGCUGAAUGGGGAAACGACCAAAGGUCUGCAUGGAGAGAGGAAUCUCUUGCUGAAUGGGGAAACGACCAAAGGUCUGCAUGGAGAGAGGAAUCUCUUGCUGAAUGGGGAAACGACCAAAGGUCUGCAUGGAGAGAGGAAUCUCUUGCUGAAUGGGGAAACGACCAAAGGUCUGCAUGGAGAGAGGAAUCUCUUGCUGAAUGGGGAAACGACCAAAGGUCUGCGUGGAGAGAGGAAUCUCUUGCUGAAUGGGGAAACGACCAAAGGUCUGCGUGGAGAGAGGAAUCUCUUGCUGAAUGGGGAAACGGUGGCUUUAUGCCACAGCUGAGCUGUCACAGGUGUACCCCAUCAGCCAUGACGACCCUCCCAGCUCCGCCCACCUCUCCUACUCCGCCCACCUCUCCUACUCCGCCCACCAAUCUGCUGCAGGAAGUAAGCACAGCAAAACCCAGUAGACAGAGCAGGGAGGGGCCGUAACACUACUCUACUACAGUGCUUCCCAAACUGGGGGUUGGGACCCACUUGUGGGUCCAGCUGGGUCACAGGAUUUAGCUUUAAAACUGCUAAAUUUUCUCUCUGCUGCCGAUAUGUUUUUUUUCUUAUUCACACUCAACCCUUACGUUGGGUCACGAUAACACACCUCAAUUGGUGGGCCAUGAAGUAAAAACGUUUGGGAAAUCCUGAUGUCUGGACUCUACUCUGAUGUCUGGACUCUACUCUGAUGUCUGGACUCUACUCUGAUGUCUGGACUCUACUCUGAUGUCUGGACUCUAC